rnacentral:tRNA from 1 species
AAGAGUAUAAUUUAAUGGUAAAAUAUGAAGCUUCAAACUUUAAAUUCUCAGUUCAAAUCCGAGUGCUCUUG